rnacentral:tRNA from 1 species
GCCAAUGUAGCUCAGCUGGUAGAGCAGCUCACUCGUAAUGAGCAGGUCAGCGGUUCGAGUCCGCUCAUUGGCUCCA